ensembl:lncRNA
CACAAACACACGGUGGAAAUUAAACUUGAGACUGUUAACUGAAAAUAAAUUAGGAAGCUUUAAUGAAAUGAGAGAAACAAAGAAUUGUUUGGUAUCGUUAUUUGAAUGGGAUUAAAUAUGACUUGAAGCUGCCGGCUGCGUGUUUUUCACAAUAAGAGCUUCUCUUCUCCUCAGUGGCGAAGUGGGUUCGGCCACAUCUGCUCCAGAUGAGUGCAGGUGUUUGUUUGUGUUUUUUUUAUUGUUGACGCAGUUUGUGUUUGAGACAUAUUCCUGCACGUUGGGUGCGUUUAGAAUCGAGGGGGGAAAAUGGCGCACAGGAAGUCAGCGUCGCCUCCACAAAGAGCCGCUGAGGUUUAUUUCUCUGGGAGUCUUCACAGAUAAACACCACUUUUAUUUAUUUUAUCAUUUAAAGGAGCCCGUGGCUUUGAGACUCAUUUCCUGUUUUUCUGUCUCCUGGACGUCAUUCAGCGUCUUCAGAGACCUGACGAUGAACCAGAGACGCCGUCCGUCCGCUACGGGGGAUAAAUGUCCCGUUAAUCGCUUACAGCGCUCGAUGCGUUGUCAUAUUUUCAGUUACCUCGCUCUGAUUUUAUCCACGUUGACGACAGCGCUGUUUCCCAACACGUUGCUCAACUUGUUGCUGAGCGUAAUCCACAACCCUUUUUUUUGUCUUACCGAACUUGACUACUUGUCCCUGUGGGUUCAGCAAUGAGAGAAGACGCGGCGUUCAGAAUAAUCACACUCACGCUGCAGCAUCGCAGACCUACGAACUGCGACGUGUGUCGGAACCAAAGCAAAGCGUGAAAAGCUGAACUCGGGGUCAAAGAGUCCAGGAGAUGAUGGUGGUGACGGUGGUGACGGUGGUGGUGAUGGUGAUGAUGGUGGUGGUGGUGGUGGUGGUGGUGGUGGUGAUGGUGAUGAUGGUGGUGAUGGUGAUGAUGGUGGUGGUGGUCGUGGUGCUGAUGGUGGUGAUGGGAGGCGUCAGCGGGAGGAGAGAAGCCGCCUGCAGUCGGCUUCAGGUGUUGCUUUUGUUUACAGAGUUAUUGGAUCAAUAAAUCAUCAUCGGCUGCUCUGAUCUCAGACAUUAGGAACGAAUUGUAACGAGCUGCCGUGUGCAAAGAAUCUAACGUGAUCAAAUGUAAUAAACUGUACAGCGGUUUCAUAGCAUCACAUUUAUCCUUAGACAGAUGGAGGGUUCUUCUUCGUGCGUCAUGAACCAACGCACGCGGUCAAAUGUUUGGAUAUUUCUACACACGUGUUGGUCCAGAGCUUUAACACAUCGGCGGGUUGAGCGUCGUUGUUUCUUUCUUCCGCUGAGGGUUCUGAUCCCCGGAGCCAGAAGAGGAACCUGCUGCACAGGAAACGGUUCAAAAACACUGUGUGAUUGUAAAACUGAUGUUUGAGGCGUAAAUGGAACCAGCGGGUUUGUUUUCUUGUGGAGGAAAAUUGAGAGUUUUAAGGUUUAAGGUGUCAAUCGUAAGCAUUUCAGUCCUUGUUGACACGGAAUCCGAUGUGACGCGAGAAUAAUUGCUUGAAAUGUCAAAGUAGCUCAGUAUUUUCAGAUUUAUUUGCGUAGUUCCGUUUGUGUGUUUAGUUAAAAUUAGCUGCAGAAUGUAUAAAUAUACCAGCUGACUCAUAGACAGAUGGAUUCUAACUUCACUUCACUUGACACACUGAAGGUCUCUCUAAAGUCUCCCUGAGAUGAAUCACUUGCAGAAGAUGAAUUGCUAAAGUGAGAGAAGAGAAUAGUUAGUUUUUAGGUUGUUUGGUUGUGUAGCGAAAUCCCUUCUUUCCUAAAUGUUCCUCGUGUCAUGUGAGUGACGGUGUGACGGACGCGAGCGGCGCGUGUUUGUAAUCCACACGCGUGGAGCUGCAGAGCGAUCCUGCAGGUUGCAACGUGAGAAUCGCUGAAUCAUUUGGGUAAACGGGGGAUUCCUCCUGCGAGGCGUCUGCCGAGGUCACAGGAGGAAAACACAUUGUGUGAGUCGGACUGUCAAUAAACAUUUACACAAACAAUUGAUUCGAUUUCUUCUGAAUGCAAGUCUUACAAUAUGACACAAAAGAGUGGAAACGUGAGAAAAUCUACCUGUGUCCAUAUUUAUUUUGCUCUUUUUACAUGAUGCGUUUCAGAAAACUGUCUUUGAGGACAUUUAUACAUUAAACACCUGCUGACUGAGCAGUUUUCUGCUCCUAGUAGAAUGUGUUUUCAUAAUAACGUCACAAUUCAGCUCGUGUUUCUGCUCCUGCUGAAACUCUACAACCAAAGAACCGACAUCAGCAACUCAAGUAAAAUGCAUUUCAAUCAAAUGAUAUAUUCUAUAUAUGAAUAAAGGAAAUAAUUCUGUGCACAAAUCCUUAAUGAUAAGAAGCAAUAUG